rnacentral:rRNA from 1 species
UGGGGAAUAUUGGACAAUGGGCGCAAGCCUGAUCCAGCCAUGCCGCGUGAGUGAUGAAGGCCUUAGGGUUGUAAACUGCUUUUGUACGGAGCGCGGUACCGUAAGAAUAAGCACCGGCUAACUUCGUGCCAGCAGCCGCGGUAAUACGAAGGGUGCAAGCGUUACUCGGAAUUACUGGGCGUAAAGCGUGCGUAGGCGGUUUGUUAAGUCAGAUGUAAAGCCCCGGGCUCAACCUGGGAACUGCAUUUGAUACUGGCGAGCUAGAGUACGGUAGAGGGUGGUGGAAUUCCCGGUGUAGCGGUGAAAUGCGUAGAGAUCGGGAGGAACAUCUGUGGCGAAGGCGGCCACCUGGACCAGUACUGACGCUGAGGCACGAAAGCGGGGGGAGCAAACAGGAUUAGAUACCCUAGUAGU